UGAGGUGUAGCUCAGUGGUAGAGAGCUUGGCUAGCAUGCAGGAGGUCCUGGGUUCCAUCCCAGCACCACAC
rnacentral:tRNA from 1 species